CCCCCGGUAGCUCAGUCGGAAGAGCGUUGAACGACUAUAGAAGAUGUGACCGCAUGGUAUCAAACUUUCGUCGUCGCACAAACGUCGCUGGUUCAAUUCCAGCCCGGGGGU